rnacentral:rRNA from 1 species
GAUGAACGCUGACAGAAUGCUUAACACAUGCAAGUCGAUGGGGAAGUGGUGCUUGCACCAUGGUAACCAUGGCGGACGGGUGAGUAACGCGUAAGGAACUUACCUGCGGGACCGGGAUAACAGCAGGAAACUGCUGACAAGACCGGAUAAGGUCAUUAAGCUGCAUAGCUUAGUGAUGAAAGGAGACGCCUGCGGAGAGCCUUGCGUCCUAUUAGCUAGUUGGAGGGGUAACGGCCCACCAAGGCGAAGAUAGGUAGCCGGCCUGAGAGGGUGGACGGCCACAAGGGGACUGAGAUACGGCCCUUACUCCUACGGGAGGCAGCAGUGGGGAAUAUUGGACCAUGGGGGCAACCCUGAUCCAGCAAUUCUGUGUGCACGAAGACGGUUUUCGGAUUGUAAAGUGCUUUCAGCAGGGAAGAAGGAAGUGACGGUACCUGCAGAAGAAGCGACGGCUAAAUACGUG